AAGGGCAAAUUUUGUCAAUGCAAGGAAACUCAUCAUUCAAAGUUGCGGCUUUGCCCAAUAUUGUAAACGUACCGUCACACAGAUUUCGAUCUACUUCGACAACUAACGCUUGGAAAUCAUCUAUAAUUAUCUUACACGUCACGAGUUGGAGAAAGGAAGGAAAGAGAAAAGUGCCUGGGCUCUGUUUCAAUGAAAAUUAUUUAUUUAUCCUUAUCGUUAUUUUGAUUAUCAGACUCAUUACAACCCGUGUAUAUUUUUAUAUGUUUGUAUACAUAUAUUGUAUUCGUACACACUUAACUCUUACAUCUGCACAUCAUUUUUAUAUUUAACAAUAACUGUCUAGUAUUUACAAUUGUAUUGGUAGAAGAGAGGGUGAUUUUUUUUUUUUUUUUCAAUAUAAAAAAAAAACUGUACGUAAAACCCGUAUUUGAAAUUCCCGCCAAUUCGGACUUUGCUAUGGGAAUCUCACA
rnacentral:lncRNA from 1 species